GCUUCGUCUUCUCCUCACGCAGCACCGUCAUUCGGCCUCCUCAUGGCGGCGCACCAACCUAGAAACGUCUCUCUCUUCGCCCUCGUUCCAAUCUUGUCUCCAACUCACGCAUGCAACCAAGGUGCAGCUAGAUCGGAGAAGGAGCCUGAUGGAACUUUUCCCUGUUUUCCGGCCGAUUCUCCCAUCUCCGGCAUCGCCUCGACCUGAAAAUGGUAAUUUAUUGACUCUCUCUUCGUUCUAAACAUCCUAGAGUCCUUAAAAUCUCAAUUUGAUUCGAUUAUGACAAAUUCCCUUUUUCUGUAAAUUCUACUGUUUCUGGACGUUGAGUUCUCCGACCAAGCUUCAACCUUUGGCUUCAAUUCUCAUAUUUGGAACUGUUGAAGGACAUUAGUGAGUAUUGGAACCCUGUUGAGCAGCUGUGAUUAAGAUGUUAUUCAGGGCCUUUGUUUUGGCGUCUUGGAAGUUUUUGAAACCAGGAGAAUGUUACUGUUUUGGAGUUUUGGCUCCUAGGACGAGUUUAAGAUUUGUGUGGGCUAUUUGAGCUGCUAAGAAGCUUGGAGGAACCUAUAUGGUUGCAGCUGCGAGUUACUAACUAACCAAAGGAGCGUAAAUCUUUGGUGUUUCCAAGGUUGGUUAAGCCUAAUCUUUCAAUUUGGGAUCAACAGAAGCCUUGGAAUAAUGGAUGCCAGCGAGUUAUUCUAACUUGAUUUAACGGAUUGAAUAAUCUAUGGAACUCAGAAGAAAUAAAAUUGCCUUUUUUUUUUGGUCAAUGAGAAAUAAAAUUGCCUUGGUUAGCCUCUCAUUGAUCGAUUCAACCUCAUUGCCUUGAGACAAAAUUGAAGCAAGUGAAGAUCUCCAACUUGUAUUUAGAAACUCCAGCGACAUUAUCAAAUUCCGUUGUUUUUUUUUGUCAUAAAAUAAUGUCGUUUUACGUUUAUCUUACCGAAUAUUUGAUUUGAUUAAUGUGAUUUUAGGUUUAUAUUA